rnacentral:lncRNA from 1 species
AACGUUGCAUGAAGUGAUGAUUGCAUAAGUCUGUUCUAUUGGUGAUAAAAGUAGUGUUUAACGUGAAGUUGGAAAUUGAUAGCAAGGCAUGGUAUAAGACAAUUUUCUUUUGUUAAGUGAUGAAUAUCAUAAUAGGCAUGUCUCUUUGGUUUGCAUACCGGUUUGCUUCUACUUGGGCACGAUUCCGACUCCUCUACCUACAGCCCGUGUUUGAUAAUAGUAGGGCCUCUUUUGGACAUGAAAAUCGAAAUCAUGUUAAGACGAAGGGAAGUCCAUUGCCCAGGUAGUCUCUCGAUUCCUUAUUCCUAAGUAGAAACUUUGGCAAGCUGUUGCGCUUGUUGUCAGGCCUGGUCCCUUUUGAAUAAAUAAUGGGUUCAAAUCUAGUUUAGAAAUACUCAUAAUUCCCUUAAGUUUUAUAUUAAUUAGUAGAUCUUUUUAAUUGAUUGGAGGUGCGCUAUAUUAGGCAAGACGUAUUUUAUGUCCCUUAUAAGUUAACUUAGAAACCUUUUGGAUAGAAUAAAUCGAGGUGUGCCAUGCUGAGCAAAAUUUUAACUGCAUGCCCCCUAUUUAAUUCAUCUUGUUUAUCCUUAUAAAUCGAAGCAUGCCAUUUAGCAAAUUUUCAUGGCCCUCACAAAGUUGUUAACGCGUAGUUGCUUUAGGCGUGCUAUUUUAAUAAUAUACCUUUCUAAACCCGGGUAUGCAUUUAUGUGACCCGGAUCUAAAUCUCAAUAAUGUUAUAUAGAAUGUGUUGCAGACCGCGGGUGUAUUUAUGUGACGUGGUUUGAGACGUAUUUUAAAUAACAGUGCAAAUCUUUCUUUAAAAAUAACUAAAAGCGGUUAAAGUUAAAUUGAACCAUAGGCUUAAACAUAUUUAAAAUCAGAUAAUUAGGCUAAUUAUGACAGUUGAGCGACCGUGCUAGAACCAUAGAACUUGGGAAUGCCUAACACCAUCUCCUGGGUUAACAUAAUUCCUUACCCGGGUUUCUAGUUCACGGACUAUAAUACAAAGUUAAUCUUUCCUUGAUUCAGGAUUUGAACUGGUGACUUGGGACAUCAUAAAUUAUCCCACGUGGCGACUCUGAAUAUUUUAAUAAUAAAUCCCGUUUUGAUUGUCCUUUAAUUUGAAAAACUCCCUUAUACGCCCUUUUCGGGGUGUAGGUAAAAAGGGAGGUAUGACCACUACAUGUCGCGCUGCAGGUCCUGAUAGACAUGUGGACGAAGCUCCCCAACACAGUAGGCUGUGUAGUUCAACGGUUAUUGGCGAGAUCCCUUCUCCGGACUUGCCGUGAUCUUGGAAUACAUUUUUGUUAUAAACAUUAUAGGUAUGUUGGGGCUCUGUUUUGGUAAUGUUGCAGCACUUAUGUUCCUUUAGAGGCUCAUAGACAGGUGUCAACUCACGUAUAGUUUGGAUUGCCUUGUCGGGUGAUUUUUGUUGUAUAGUCUCUCAUGGCAGCUUGUCAGCUUGUACCUUAUACUCUCUCUGUUCCAAUUUAUAUGAACCUAUUUCCUUUUUGGUCCAUUCCAAAAGAAUGAACCAUUUCUAAAUUUGGUAAUAAUUUAGCUUAAACUUACAAUUCUACCCUUAAUGAGAAGCUUU